GACGAACGCUGGCGGCGUGCCUAAUACAUGCAAGUAGAGCGCACAGUUUAUACCGUAGCUUGCUACACCAUAGACUGUGAGUUGCGAACGGGUGAGUAACGCGUAGGUAACCUGCCUGGUAGCGGGGGAUAACUAUUGGAAACGAUAGCUAAUACCGCAUAAUAUUAAUUAUUGCAUGAUAAUUAAUUGAAAGGUGCAAUUGCACCACUACCAGAUGGACCUGCGUUGUAUUAGCUAGUAGGUGAGGUAACGGCUCACCCAGGCGACGAUACAUAGCCGACCGGAGAGGGUGAUCGGCCACACUGGGACUGAGACACGGCCCAGACUCCUACGGGAGGCAGCAGUAGGGAAUCUUCGGCAAUAGACGAAAGUCUGACCGAGCAAUGCCGCGUGAGUGAAGAAGGUUGUCGGAUCGUAAAGCUCUGUUGUAAGAGAAGAACGGGUGUGAGAGUGGAAAGUUCACACUGUGACGGUAUCUUACCAGAAAGGGACGGCUAACUACGUG
rnacentral:rRNA from 1 species